rnacentral:rRNA from 1 species
UACGUAGGGUGCGAGCGUUGUCCGGAAUUACUGGGCGUAAAGAGCUCGUAGGUGGUUUGUCGCGUUGUUCGUGAAAUCCCACGGCUUAACUGUGGGCGUGCGGGCGAUACGGGCAGACUGGAGUACUGCAGGGGAGACUGGAAUUCCUGGUGUAGCGGUGAAAUGCGAAGAUAUCAGGAGGAACACCGAUGGCGAAGGCAGGUCUCUGGGCCACUACUGACGCUGAGAAGCGAAAGCAUGGGGAGCGAACAGG